rnacentral:ncRNA from 1 species
GUGAGCCGUGUGAUGGGAAACCUUCCCACACGGUUCAGAGAGCACUGAAUGCCGUACACUUGAGUGGCAAAGGAAAGCGAGACCUUACCUUUU